UACGAAGGGGGCUAGCGUUGCUCGGAAUUACUGGGCGUAAAGCGCACGUAGGCGGUUCGUUAUGUCGGAUGUGAAAGCCCUUGGCUUAACCGAGGAAGUGCAUCCGAAACUGGCGAGCUAGAGUACUAAAGAGGAUCGCGGAAUUCCCGGUGUAGAGGUGAAAUUCGUAGAUAUCGGGAGGAACACCGGUGGCGAAGGCGGCGAUCUGGGUAGAUACUGACGCUGAGGUGCGAAAGCGUGGGGAGCAAACAGG
rnacentral:rRNA from 1 species